rnacentral:lncRNA from 10 species
AGGAAGGAUGUAGGAUAAGGUAGAGUAUUUGCAGGUCCAGAUGCCGCUUUAUGCUAACAAGGUGAGUCAAUGGAUGAGCAACAACUGUACAUGCACUGCAUUAUUUCUCUCCCUUCCUCCCAUCACCAACUGGAGAGCUUGGAAAAGGGCAAUACCUGUGAGCAUUUCCAGGGUGGCCAACUCUUCUUAGAUUUAAGAGUGUGACAUUUGCAAUUCUGGGAUCCUAUUUCCAGUCCAGUUCAGGUCUCUCUACCUCCAUGAAGGUUUCUCUCCUUCUUGGCUUCUUUCUUUGCUGGGUUCCUAUGUCUCUUCACCUCAAUACAGGUAGGAAGGAGGGUGAUGUGAUUGAGAUGGUAUCACUGGACUGGUCUGGUUGGCUGGAUGGGAUCUGCUCCCUCUCUCGUUCCCGUAAGUCUUCCUCUACAGCUUUGCGAGGAGUUUGUGGAAGGAGACAUGGUUUCCUGAAGAGGAGGGCCAUACCUGGGUUGAGGAUGGAGAGGUCCAUGCAGUCCUCCACUGGAAUCACAAGGCAGUCUCUCACCUGAAGUGCUGCAAGAGCCUCUGGCUGCCAGAGUUGCCAGAGUAGUAUUUUGAAAAUGUAAUAUUUUUCAUAUCACACCCCUGCUUCAAUGACUUCUUACUGUUGUUGUCAGAUAAAGCCAUCAGGGGAGAGAGGGAGGGAGAGAGAGACAGUGCCUUUGACAGGUGUUGCUCGUUCAUUCACUCAUUUGUGCAUUUAUCAAAACAUAUUAAUUGAACACCUACUAUGUGCUAGGCACUGAUCUGCUUACUAGAGCAUAGCAAUGAAGAAAACAAAAUCUAUACCCUACAGGUUUUUAUUAAAACAAGAAAACCAAUAACAUGUGAAGGUGUUUUCAGUGGGAUAAGCCAUAUAGGAAAGCAGGGUAAGGGGUAAGAAAGUGAUGGAAAAAGAG